ensembl:misc_RNA 7SK 7SK RNA
GGAUGUGCGAGUGAUCUGCCUUUUAUGUUAUUCUGUUGGUCAGUUAUUUCACUGGAUAGGAAGGUGAUCCUUGCUUCAUCAUUCCUCCAAAUGCAUCCCUCCCAAAAGCUUCUCAUACUCGAGACAGAGGAGGACAUGGCUUUGCUCAAGAGUCUAUAAGAAGCUCUAGUUCUCUGUAGCAGAGUCUCCAAAAAAAAAAAAAAAAUUUUCUUUUUGACUGCAAUAAAGCAACAGAGCUGACCAGAAGAUCUAAGAGUGAUAUCCAAGUCAGAGAGAGAGGGCAGGGCAGACUAGAUGGUGCUGAUCUU